CCCGGUGACCAGGUUCACGAGCUACACGAUCCUUGUUUUCAGCCACAAAGUCGUUGGCCCGUUUACUGUGCAGCGCUAGGUCCCUGGAAGGUCAGCUGUCGCGGGUCCCCACCCACCUCGCCUCCUGCACGCUGGGCCCGCCAAUCCCGGUGCCCCGGGUGCUGGACGAGGAGCCCCGGGGGGCACAGGGCAGCCCCCUGCCUCAGGCGGGAGCCAGAACCGCGGCCUCCCGGGGGCACCACCGUCCAGACAUCCCCGUACAUCGUGACCUGGCUUGACCUCUGCCAGCCGACGGUCCCUGGGGCAGACGGGACCUCCUUACCUGGCCUGGACCUCCCCCUCCCCAACUCCGCCCUGAAGCCUCCUCCUCUCACCUGGGCUCCGGGGCCUCCCGGCUCCCCCCGUGCGUCCUCCUCGGCUUCAAUUACUGCCUGGACGCACAGGAUUCUCAAAUUCACAGCGUGGGCCCCUGGCCCUGCCCUGGAGGGCCAGCCGCCUACCGCGUCUUCCGGGGACACCCCAAGCACAUCCCAGGCCCCCCAUAGCCGGGACCAACCCCCUGCGACCUCCGGAGUUUGCGGCCCCUGGGGCAGCACCCAGGCUUCCCAGGGCGGAGGGUUGGGGGGAUGCCCCCCGUCCCGCUGCCUGCUGUCCACAGCUUCAUCCCACCGCCCCGUCCUCGGGGUGAUAGCUGCAGGUGACCCGGCGGUGGCCGAUGACAUGCAGCCCGGGGACGUUUUUCCUGAGGUGGCUGAGCCGGGAGGACCUGGCCUGCAGCGGUUCUGUCACAGGCCCCGAGCGCAGAGCCCACGCUGGGCUGACCCGGGGACCCCCCGGCUCCUCGCACGGCCUCGCUCUGCCCCGGGCACGCCGGGCUCUACUGCGGCAGCUCGUCCCCACGUCAGGGCCUCUGUGCACCUCCCCCUCCGUCCGUCACACGCUCCUGGGGACCUCAAGGCCCGAACCUUGCUCCCCUCCCCUGACACCAUCGGGGUAAAGCCUGCACUGCUAACGCUCGCCUUGCGCUGUCGCAGCCCCUGCUGCUGCGUGUCCACCGGCUGGUUUGUGACCUCUGUCCCACUUCCCCAAGGGGGAGGCGUGGGCACUUCUGGUCACUGCCGUAUCCUCAGCACGUAG
rnacentral:lncRNA from 12 species